GCUGGGUAUGGUAGUACACAUCUGUAGUUAUAGCUACUCAGGAGGCUGAGGUAGGAGGAUCACUUCAGUCCAGGAGUUCUAGACCAGCCUGGGCAGCAUAUGAAACCCCAUCUCAA
rnacentral:sRNA from 1 species